ensembl:snRNA U6 U6 spliceosomal RNA
GUGCUCCCUUCAGCAGCACAUAUACUAAAGUGGGAACAAUAUAGAGAAGAUUAGCAUGGCCCUGUGCAAGGAUGACAUGUAUAUUCAUGAAGCAUUCCAUAUUUUU